rnacentral:rRNA from 1 species
CGGGACGGGUGAGUAAUGUAUGGGGAUCUGCCUGAUGGGGGGGGAUAACUACUGGAAACGGUAGCUAAUACCGCAUAAUGUCUACGGACCAAAGCGGGGGACCUCCGGGCCUCGCGCCAUCAGAUGAACCCAUAUGGGAUUAGCUAGUAGGUAAGGUAACGGCUUACCUAGGCGACGAUCCCUAGCUGGUCUGAGAGGAUGAUCAGCCACACUGGGACUGAGACACGGCCCAG